AUGUCACUAAAGGCAAAGAAGCCCCUGCUCUUCCCAAAGCCAAAGCCAAACCAAAGGUUUUGAGAGCCAAGAAGGCAGUACUGAAAGGUGUCUAUAGACACAGAUCCAUAUGUCACCCAUCUUCCAGUCACCCAAAAUACUUUGGAUUUGGAGGCAGCCCAAAUAUUUUUGGAAGUGUGUCCCCAGGAGAAAGAAGCUUGACUACUAUGCCAUCAUCAAUUUUCCUUGACCAUAGAGUUGGCCAUGAAGAAGAAGGACAACAACAACACACUUGUGUUUAUUGUGGAUGUCAAGGCCAACAAGUACCAGACCAAACAGGCUGUGGAAAAGUUCUAUGACAUUGACAUGACCAGUGCCAACACCUUGAUCAGGCCUGAUGGAGAGAAGAAGACAUUUGUUUGACUGGCUCCUGACUAUGAUGCUUUGGAUAUAGCCAACACAAUUGGGAUUAUU
rnacentral:lncRNA from 1 species